AUGAGUUCAUCUACGCUCCCUACGCUCGUCCAGGAUUCGCCGCCGGCUGGCUCAGAGGGAAGCCACGAGACGGAAGGAGCCCGCCUAGAUUCUGGCCUGUCUGGCCUAGACAAGCCUGCCCCCCUUCCCGCAUUCCCAGUCUCUAAAGCGUUCCGUCCUCUCCUUUUCGAUUCGCCUUUCGCCACAGGCGCCCAAGGCUUACGUUUUGAGGCUAGUCCACUCCAGGUUACCUCUCAUGGAAAAGUUCUCUCUUACCAGGGCAGAGCCGGAUUCCGGAGACGGUGGAAAUCGCUUCACAGGUUCCUCUCUCAGCGUUCUCGGCUCUGCUUCACCUGCAGCUGCCAACGAAUUCACCGACUCCCGGCAUGCCCCGCGCAGGCACCGCCUCCCCACCCCCACCCCCUCCCCGCCCCUCUCCCGCCCAAACACGUGACCUCCUUUAGCCUCCGUCCACGCCCACUUCCGUUCCUCCACUUUCCCUUAGGAGGGAGGAGGGGACUGGGGGUGUUAAAGAGUAGCGACUUCCUCCUACUCUCCGCCCCCGCCUCUCUACCCCCUGCUACAAUGUCUUCCGGGUCGCGAUCGCCUCGGAGCCUUCUGGGAAACCAUCUCAUUUCCUCCCCUCCCCCUCCUCCUGCCUUCAACCAACCAGCCUCCCGUCAGAGAGGGACAUGCGCAAUGAAUAUUGAGGAUAUCAUUUUCUGCAUGUGGGAAGUAGAUAUUGAAGGUUAUCUGGUUUACAGACAAGAUCUUUAAAAAGUAGACACUGAAGGACCAGGGAAAUAAAUACAAGAAGACAAGAACACAGAAUAUUAGAAGUGUAAUCCUGCUCUAAUUUCAUCAAACACAAAGGAAUGACUACCUUGACAGAUGGCCACAGAGGAUGUCAACAACUUUUUGGAG
rnacentral:lncRNA from 1 species